UACAUAGCCUGCAAGCGUUAUUCGGAUUCACUGGGCGUAAAGGGUGCGCAGGCGGCCGGGUGUGUCAGAUGUGAAAUCCCGAGGCUCAACCUCGGAACUGCGUCUGAAACUACUCGGCUAGAGUACUGGAGAGGGUAACGGAAUUCACGGUGUAGCAGUGAAAUGCGUAGAUAUCGUGAGGAACACCAGAGGCGAAGGCGGUUACCUGGACAGUUACUGACGCUCAGGCACGAAAGCGUGGGGAGCAAAAGGG
rnacentral:rRNA from 1 species